rnacentral:misc_RNA from 1 species
UUUCCGUAGGUGAACCUGCGGAAGGAUCAUUAUUGUAUAACCGAGGUGCGAGGGCUGUCGCUGACCCGAAAGGUCGUGCACGCCCGAGUGCCCUCACACACAUCCAUCUCACCCCUAUAUGCACCACCGCGUGGGUCCCCCUUUGGCUUGUUCGGAGGGGUGCUUACGUUUUCACACAAACUUUGUAUGCAGUGUAGAAUGUAUUUUUUGUUUUUGCGAUCACGCAAUCAAUACAACUUUCAACAACGGAUCUCUUGGCUCUC